rnacentral:rRNA from 1 species
AGAGGGGGCAAGCGUUGUUCGGAAUUACUGGGCGUAAAGGGCGCGUAGGCGGCCUUCUAAGUCGAACGUGAAAUCCCCGGGCUCAACCCGGGAACUGCGUCCGAGACUGGAAGGCUCGAAUCCGGGAGAGGGAUGUGGAAUUCCAGGUGUAGCGGUGAAAUGCGUAGAUAUCUGGAGGAACAUCGGUGGCGAAGGCGGCAUCCUGGACCGGUAUUGACGCUGAGGCGCGAAAGCCAGGGGAGCAAACGGGAUUAGAUACCCCGGUAGUCCUGGCCCUAAACGAUGAAUGCUUGGUGUGGCGGGUAUCGAUCCCUGCCGUGCCGAAGCUAACGCAUUAAGCAUUCCGCCUGGGGAGUACGGUCGCAAGGCUG